rnacentral:rRNA from 1 species
UACGUAGGGAGCAAGCGUUGUCCGGAAUCAUUGGGCGUAAAGCGCGCGUAGGCGGCCCCGUAAGUCCGCUGUGAAAGUCAAAGGCUCAACCUUUGAAAGCCGGUGGAUACUGUGGGGCUAGAGUCCGGAAGAGGCGAGUGGAAUUCCUGGUGUAGCGGUGGAAUGCGCAGAUAUCAGGAGGAACACCAACUAGCGAAGGCAGCUCGCUGGGACGGUACUGACGCUAAGGCGCGAAAGCGUGGGGAGCGAACAGG